rnacentral:rRNA from 1 species
UACGUAGGGUGCAAGCGUUAAUCGGAAUUACUGGGCGUAAAGCGUGCGCAGGCGGCUUUGCAAGACAGAUGUGAAAUCCCCGGGCUUAACCUGGGAACUGCAUUUGUGACUGCAUGGCUGGAGUGCGGCAGAGGGGGAUGGAAUUCCGCGUGUAGCAGUGAAAUGCGUAGAUAUGCGGAGGAACACCGAUGGCGAAGGCAAUCCCCUGGGCCUGCACUGACGCUCAUGCACGACAGCGUGGGGAUCAAACAGG